CAGGGACUUCUUUUCAGUUGUUUUUUUCCUCUAUGUGAUGUCGUUCGUUUUUUAUGAACAUCGCACUUAUCUGAUGUCACAGGUUGGGGGAAUCCAAACCACAGACACAAAUACGCCGUGUUAUUCUUUGAAGGAUUGUGCGACCCCUGAUUUUAUUGGGAUGGCAGCCAGCCAGCUAAAAGUGCUCAGCCUCCUAAAGUCCCUCUGACAGCCAGGAGUGGCCACGUGAUCCAGUGUAGGUAUGAGCUGGAGAUAGAAUGGCCACGUCGCAACCAUGACCAACCAUGAGGAGGACAAAAUCCACAUGUACAAGAAGGCCAAGCCAAAAAACAGAAAAGAACCUGGGCCCCUAGUGGCAUCACUGAGGCAUCCUAUCAGCCCAAGAUGCUUACUGCAGGACUUAGUAACAGGAGAUGAUAGAAACUUACCAGUGGUGAGAUUGGUGUUACUUGCAGCAGAAUGCAUGUCUGCUGGAUCCACCCCCUGCCUCUGGAUUUCUAAACGCAUGAGAAAAUACAUUUCCUUAAUAAUUAA